GACAGAGGGUGCGAACGUUGCUCGGAAUCAUUGGGCGUAAAGCGCGUGUAGGCGGCAUCGCACGUCGGGUGUGAAAGCCCGGGGCUCAACCCCGGCAGUGCACCCGAAACGACGAUGCUAGAGUGCUGGAGAGGCGGGUGGAAUUCCCGGUGUAGAGGUGAAAUUCGUAGAGAUCGGGAAGAACACCAACGGCGAAAGCACUCUGCUGGGCCGACACUGACACUGAGAGACGAAAGCUAGGGGAGCGAAUGGG
rnacentral:rRNA from 1 species